rnacentral:rRNA from 1 species
CACGUAGGCACCAAGCGUUGUCCGGAUUUAUUGGGCGUAAAGAGCUCGUAGGCGGUUUGUUGCGUCGGCUGUGAAAUCCCGAGGCUCAACCUUGGGCGUGCAUUCCAAACUCCCGGGCUUGAGGCAGGUAGGGGAGAUCGGAAUUCCUGGUGUAGCGGUGAAAUGCGCAGAUAUCAGGAAGAACACCCGUGGCGAAGGCGGCUCUCUGGGACGGUACUGACGCUGAGACGCGAAAGCGUGGGGAGCGAACAGG